GGACUACCGAUUGUCGCUGAGGUAGGAGGGGGAAGGCGAACGACGAUGAGCCAGCGAUGGAGAAGAGAGAUGGGACAGUUCAUAGACGGAGGAGUUAGGAUUUUCAAAACUGUGUCGAACUCAGGGAGUGAGUCCCUAUUCAAGCUAGUGUACACAAAGGGGAUCGUGCCCUAUCUUUCGAGUUGGCCAGUCCGACGAUCGAGAAUGUAGCCACGUUCUCGUUUCACAUAUGAGGCUAAGAUAUGGUUGAGCUGUGAUGAGCGCGGUGGGUGCUGAGCAAGACCGUUGGAAAAAAUUAAGUGUUCAGAAUGUGUCAUGUCUCCACACGUGACAUAUUCCUUCUCUCAAAUGCUUCCGCUGAGUAGUUGUCUUUCUUUUGAGUUCUUGUAUUGCGCAGAUAAUAUUUUUCUAGUUCUUGAUUGUUGAGAUACUCUGAUUUUAUUUGAGCUAUUCCUAUUAUUUCGAGUUA